rnacentral:rRNA from 1 species
GAACGAACGCUGGCGGCAUGCCUAAUACAUGCAAGUCGAACGGAGAUAGCAAUAUCUAGUGGCGAACGGGUGCGUAACACGUGAGCAACCUGCCUUAUACAUCGGAAUAACAGCUGGAAACGGCUGCUAAUACCGGAUAAGACCACACCAAGGCAUCUUGGAGAGGUCAAAGCGAAUUAGCGGUAUAAGAUGGGCUCGCGUCCAAUUAGCUAGUUGGUGGGGUAACGGCCCACCAAGGCAACGAUUGGUAGCCGACUUGAGAGAGUGAUCGGCCACACUGGAACUGAGACACGGUCCAGACUCCUACGGGAGGCAGCAGUAGGGAAUAUUGGGCAAUGGGAAGGAAACUCUUACCCAGCAAUGCCGCGUGAAUGAUGAAGGUCUUAUGGAUUGUAAAGUUCUUUAAUUGGGGACGAAAGAAAUGACGGUACCCAAAGAAUAAGCCCCGGCUAACUACGUGCCAGCCGCCGC